rnacentral:rRNA from 1 species
UGCCAGCCGCCGCGGUAAUACGGAGAGGGCAAGCGUUGUUCGGAAUCACUGGGCAUAAAGCGCACGUAGGCGGGUCGGUCAGUCGGUUGUGAAAGCCCGGGGCUCAACUCCGGAAUUGCUUCCGAAACUGCCGGCCUGGAGGACGAGAGGGGAGAGUGGAACUUCUGGUGGAGCGGUGAAAUGCGUAGAUAUCAGAAGGAACACCGGUGGCGAAAGCGACUCUCUGGCUCGUUUCUGACGCUGAGGUGCGAAAGCUAGGGUAGCGAACGGGAUUAGAUA